GGCAAACUUUCAUCAAGGAAGAUACGUCCCGUGAAUGGACACCGAAGCUGCGAUGGCGUGCGAAAAAAUGCCCGCAACAACCUCCGGGGACCGAUCUCUGUGGAUUCUUCGUUUGCGAGUACAUCCGCAGAAUUGUCAGCGAGAGAACGAAUAAUGAAAGAAAUAAAGAGUUGGCAAGAAAGCGGAACAAGCUCUCAAUCGAUGACCGCUUCAUAGCAAUAGGCGAGGAAUUGGCGGGAUUUUUCCUUCGGGACGUCAUACCACCACUCGCAGAGUACCACUAUGAAUGAAGAUGUAC